rnacentral:rRNA from 1 species
GAUGAACGCUGGCGGCGUGCCUAAUACAUGCAAGUCGAGCGAAUGAAGAGGAGCUUGCUCCUCUGAUUUAGCGGCGGACGGGUGAGUAACACGUGGGUAAUCUGCCUGUAAGACGGGGAUAACUCCGGGAAACCGGGGCUAAUACCGGAUAAUAAAAAGAAACGCAUGUUUCUUUUUUGAAAGUUGGUUUCGGCUAACACUUACAGAUGAGCCCGCGGCGCAUUAGCUAGUUGGGGAGGUAACGGCUAACCAAGGCGACGAUGCGUAGCCGACCUGAGAGGGUGAUCGGCCACACUGGGACUGAGACACGGCCCAGACUCCUACGGGAGGCAGCAGUAGGGAAUCUUCGGCAAUGGGCGAAAGCCUGACCGAGCAACGCCGCGUGAGCGAUGAAGGCCUUCGGGUCGUAAAGCUCUGUUGUUAGGGAAGAACACGUACGAGAGUAACUGCUCGUACCUUGACGGUACCUAACCAGAAAGCCACGGCUAACUACGUGCCAGCCGCCGCUGUAA